rnacentral:rRNA from 1 species
AUUGAACGCUGGCGGCAGGCCUAACACAUGCAAGUCGACCGAGUGGCGGACGGGUGAGUAAUGUCUGGGAAACUGCCCGAUGGAGGGGUAUAACUACUGGAAACGGUAGCUAAUACCGCCUACCAUCGGAUGUGCCCAGAUGGGAUUAGCUUGUGGGUGGGGUAACGGCUCACCUAGGCUACGAUCCCUAGCUGGUCUGAGAGGAGUACCAGCCACACUGGAAAUGGGACACGGUCCAGAUUCCUACGGGAGGCAGCAGUGGGGAAUAUUGGACAAUGGGGGGAAGCCUGAUGCAGCGAUGCCGCGUGUAGGAAGAAGGCCUUCGGAUUGUAAAGUACUUACAGCGGGGAGGCGUUACUCGCAGAAGAAGCACCGGCUAACUCCGUGCCAGCCGCCGCGGUAAUUA